rnacentral:rRNA from 1 species
AACGAACGCUGGCGGCAUGCCUAACACAUGCAAGUCGAACGAGACCUUCGGGUCUAGUGGCGCACGGGUGCGUAACGCGUGGGAACCUGCCCUUAGGUUCGGAAUAACUCCCCGAAAGGGGUGCUAAUACCGGAUAAUGUCUUCGGACCAAAGAUUUAUCGCCUUUGGAUGGGCCCGCGUUGGAUUAGCUAGUUGGUAGGGUACAAGCCUACCAAGGCGACGAUCCAUAGCUGGUCUGAGAGGAUGAUCAGCCACACUGGGACUGAGACACGGCCCAGACUCCUACGGGAGGCAGCAGUGGGGAAUAUUGGACAAUGGGCGAAAGCCUGAUCAAGCAAUGCCGCGUGAGUGAUGAAGGCCUUAGGGUUGUAAAGCUCUUUUACCCGGGAUGAUAAUGACAGUACCGGGAGAAUAAGCACCGGCUAACUCCGUG